AUUGAACGCUGGCGGCAGGCCUAACACAUGCAAGUCGAGCGGAUGAAGGGAGCUUGCUCCUGGAUUCAGCGGCGGACGGGUGAGUAAUGCCUAGGAAUCUGCCUGGUAGUGGGGGAUAACGUCCGGAAACGGGCGCUAAUACCGCAUACGUCCUGAGGGAGAAAGUGGGGGAUCUUCGGACCUCACGCUAUCAGAUGAGCCUAGGUCGGAUUAGCUAGUUGGUGGGGUAAAGGCCUACCAAGGCGACGAUCCGUAACUGGUCUGAGAGGAUGAUCAGUCAAACGGGAAGGGACACAGGGCCCGACCCUCGGCGGGAGGAGGCGGGGGGGAUUUUGGGAAAUGGGCAGAAGCUCUUACCCCCCCGUGCGGGGUGUGGAAAGAGGGUUUCGUGUUUGAAAGCCUUUUUAGGUGGGGGGAAGGGGAAUAAAUUAAUUCCUUUGUUUUUUUGAGUUACCAAAAAAAAAAACCCCCGCCUACCUUCGGC
rnacentral:rRNA from 1 species